AUGCCAAGGAUCUUGUCAACGGUGGGGAUCAUUGGGCAAGACAAAAAUAAGCGGAUGUCAUCAUCUUUCAGCCGAACCAUGCCUGGGGCGGCGACAGACGCAGCCUCGGGCUUUGACUCUUCCACGAUCCUGUCGAUCGCCUCCUCCAAUUGCUUUGAUGUCAACGCUUUCGACUCAAGGAAGGUUAGCAGCGUCUCCUUGAUUCUUUUCCUUAGAGCUUCGCCGUCUUCCGGGAUGAGGUCCAGGGUGAGUAGGCCCGCCCAAUCGGCCGCCCUCGGCAGCCCCAGGAAGAUGUCCGACGCCCCCGCAUGCGCCGGGAACAUGUUCAACGCCUCGCAUGCCCCGGCCGACUUCCUUUUGAGAGGGCAUGCCCUCAACGGACCAUCCUCGCCGGUCACCGCAUCCUCCGGCGCGUUGGUGGUGAGCGAAAAAGUGCCCUUCUCGACGGUCGCUGCGUCCUCCACCGGACUAGGUUUGGUGGUGGAGCAUGGCCUCAGCGCAAAAACGCCGUUUUCGCCCGUCGUCGCCGCCUCCAUCGCCAUAUGUUUAUGUUUGGCGGCGGCGCACGGCGUCAACAAAAAAGCCCCCUUUUCGCCGUCACCGCCUCCUCUACCAGCAUGUGAUGCUUGUUGGUGCACUGCCUCAACGACAAAGGUCUCUUGGUGGUGGAAAAGUGCUCCUUACUAUCCAUCGCCGGUUCCCUCGCCGCCGAACAAUUGUUGUGAUUGGGGAUUGGGGAUGAGAUGUGCCGGCGGCGGUGUCGUCUCGAUCUAUAUAAAGGCAGAGGUGAACCCUAAUCCGCCAUCGACUGGACUACAAACCUUUCCGGAGCAGAUUCUACCUUGGCCAGGCCCGGUCCAGCUGCGUCUCAGAAUUGACUUCUUAUUGCCGAGCACAAUACUGGCGAAUCCUAUUUGCUGCGGGCCUCGGAACAAGCUGAAGGGCGAGAGAGCUGGGCCGGCCCACAAGCUCAGGAGGCACAGCCUCUUUGUCAUGUUUUUCUUACGUUUUCUGUGA
rnacentral:rRNA from 1 species